rnacentral:rRNA from 1 species
UACGUAGGGGGCAAGCGUUGUCCGGAAUUAUUGGGCGUAAAGCGUGCGCAGGUGGUUUCUUAAGUCUGAUGUGAAAGCCCACGGCUCAACCGUGGAGGGUCAUUGGAAACUGGGGAACUUGAGUGCAGGAGAGAAGAGUGGAAUUCCACGUGUAGCGGUGAAAUGCGUAGAGAUGUGGAGGAACACCAGUGGCGAAGGCGACUUUUUGGCCUGUAACUGACACUGAGGCGCGAAAGCGUGGGGAGCAAACAGG